rnacentral:rRNA from 1 species
AGAGUUUGAUCCUGGCUCAGGACGAACGCUGGCGGCGCGCCUAACACAUGCAAGUCGAACGAGCGAGAGAGAGCUUGCUUUCUCGAGCGAGUGGCGAACGGGUGAGUAACGCGUGAGGAACCUGCCUCAAAGAGGGGGACAACAGUUGGAAACGACUGCUAAUACCGCAUAAGCCCACGGUGCCGCAUGGCACAGAGGGAAAAGGAGCAAUCCGCUUUGAGAUGGCCUCGCGUCCGAUUAGCUAGUUGGUGAGGUAACGGCCCACCAAGGCGACGAUCGGUAGCCGGACUGAGAGGUUGAACGGCCACAUUGGGACUGAGACACGGCCCAGACUCCUACGGGAGGCAGCAGUGGGGAAUAUUGCACAAUGGGGGAAACCCUGAUGCAGCGACGCCGCGUGGAGGAAGAAGGUCUUCGGAUUGUAAACUCCUGUUGUUGGGGAAGAUAAUGACGGUACCCAACAAGGAAGUGACGGCUAACUACGUGCCAGCAGCCGCGGUAAAACGUAGGUCACAAGCGUUGUCCGGAAUUACUGGGUGUAAAGGGAGCGCAGGCGGGAAGACAAGUUGGAAGUGAAAUCUAUGGGCUCAACCCAUAAACUGCUUUCAAAACUGUUUUUCUUGAGUAGUGCAGAGGUAGGCGGAAUUCCCGGUGUAGCGGUGGAAUGCGUAGAUAUCGGGAGGAACACCAGUGGCGAAGGCGGCCUACUGGGCACCAACUGACGCUGAGGCUCGAAAGUGUGGGUAGCAAACAGGAUUAGAUACCCUGGUAGUCCACACCGUAAACGAUGAUUACUAGGUGUUGGAGGAUUGACCCCUUCAGUGCCGCAGUUAACACAAUAAGUAAUCCACCUGGGGAGUACGACCGCAAGGUUGAAACUCAAAGGAAUUGACGGGGGCCCGCACAAGCAGUGGAGUAUGUGGUUUAAUUCGAAGCAACGCGAAGAACCUUACCAGGUCUUGACAUCCGAUGCAUAGCACAGAGAUGUGUGAAAUCCUUCGGGACAUCGAGAC